rnacentral:rRNA from 1 species
UACGAAGGGUGCAAACGUUGCUCGGAAUUACUGGGCGUAAAGGGCUCGUAGGUGGCCAACUAAGUCAGACGUGAAAUCCCUCGGCUUAACCGGGGAACUGCGUCUGAUACUGGAUGGCUUGAGUUUGGGAGAGGGACGCGGAAUUCCAGGUGUAGCGGUGAAAUGCGUAGAUAUCUGGAGGAACACCGGUGGCGAAGGCGGCGUCCUGGACCAACACUGACACUGAUGAGCGAAAGCCAGGGGAGCAAACGGG